AAAGCCAAACACUCGCUCGACCAUUUGCCUGACGUUUCUCGCACACAUCUGUAAUUUACAUAAUCUACACAAACCAAGCUCCUCAACCUUAUUGGCUGUUUCUCUGUGUACGCGAAAAGUGGCGUGACUUCUGGAUUGUUCUAUUUUAGGGUCUAAAACGCGUACAAUACAACACCUUGUCAACAAUCCAAAAACGGUUCCGUUUUUGGAGACAAAAACCAUGAAUAAUACCUAAAUUCCUCUAUAUCUCUUAAACCGUGACAAUCAGGUAGCUGAAACUUUCAAAAACAAUGCAUCUCCAUUGCCAUCACAACUACAAAUUCAAAGAAACACAAUAAAUCAAACAUUUAAAAAGAUCCCCCACUCUACAAACCCGAUCCUCCAAUGCAUGUUUUGGCUUGUCAUUAACAACGACAACAUACUAGCAAUAUAAAAUUCACGAUCAAUUCACGUUCAUGUUUUUGUUCACUAAAUGUUCUUUCAAUUGUAGGCACGGAACCCCUCAAAAUAAUGCGAUUCACACUUGGCAUUAUUUUAGUUUUACUUUUUUUUCCAUGAUUUUUUCAAUUUUCGCGAAUUACAGUUCUAAAAAAUUAGAAUAAUAUUUUAAACGAUAGGUACGAACUUCGUAUGCUUUAUAAAUCAAUUUCAACAAGAAAUACUACGUAAUAUAGCUAUUAUUUUCAAUUUUGUAAAAUAUACCAGCUCAAAACUCUUCAUUCAUAUAUUUUUACAUCGACACCCUUUUGGUGCUUGCUACUCCCGCGAAAAUUCAAACUAUCCUAAUGUCUAUUUUUGUAUUUUAAAUAAUUUUAUUCCAUAAAUUCGUACAUAUUCUUUCAAAAUAACAUCCCUAUCUCGAAUCCUAAUUAACAAACUCUAAAAUUUCGUAUACCUUUUUAUAAUCUAUGUAUUCCUGUGACGUAAACUGAACAUAUCCUUCAUUCAUUCUCACAGUUAAACAAAACACUUGAAUCAAGUAGUGUGGUUUGUAUUGUUUGGACAAUUAGUGUACUUUUUGUGUUAAAUAUAAUUAUGAAACCUUUCAGAUCGUGUUUAAUACGACUACAGAAUAGUGGGAAACAUAAUGGAAGGAAGACAAAAUAAGAUGCAACGUACGGGUUUUAGCUACAAUAAUUAGUAAGAUUGAAGACUUCUUGACGAUGUUUAUAAUGUAUCCUAUAAAAUAUUCACUCGCCAGAAUCGUCCAAAGAUCCAGGAGGGACAGAUAUCUACUCCAAACCUGGAAUCUGUUGCAGAAUAUUAAAGAAAAUUAUGGGAAAACAAAUGUGAAUGACGGACAGAUUUAGUAAGAUGAAAGAUUUAAGCCUACGAGCACACUACUAUUUCUCACAUCAAAGGUACAUUGUUAAUUAUGAACAUCAAUAGUAAAUAAAG
rnacentral:lncRNA from 1 species